UACGUAGGGGGCUAGCGUUGUCCGGAAUCAUUGGGCGUAAAGCGCGCGUAGGCGGCCCGGUAAGUCCGCUGUGAAAGUCAAAGGCUCAACCUUUGAAUGUCAGCGGAUACUGCCGGGCUAGAGUCCGGAAGAGGCAAGUGGAAUUCCCGGUGUAGCGGUGAAAUGCGCAGAUAUCGGGAGGAACACCAAUGGCGAAGGCAGCUUGCUGGGACGGUACUGACGCUGAGGCGCGAAAGCGUGGGGAGCAAACAGG
rnacentral:rRNA from 1 species